rnacentral:rRNA from 1 species
CAAUCGACCAAGGUUGGGUGUCAUGGUCUUGGUCCGUUCCAGCUCUGUGUUCCGGUGGAAGAAUUGGUGUGGGUUUGAAGUUCCCGGCAAACGAGCCGCCAAAACCCCCAUUCGUUCUUGUUCUAGUUCUCGNCCAAUGCCAUUUAAAGAUUGGGGCCAACCUUCUUAGGGGGAGAACCUUGCNCCGGGGUGACAACACCGGAGGAAGGUGGGGACUGACGUCCAAAUCAUCAUGCCCCUUAUGAUCUCUGGGCUACACACGUGUACAAUGGCACUGGUACAAACGGAGAUAGCGAGACCUGCUGAGAGUGUGUAGCCCUAAUCCUCAUGUAAAUCCCGGUUCGUCAGUUCGGAUCUGUCAGUGCGU